rnacentral:lncRNA from 1 species
GGAGUAAGCUGUGGAGCAAGCUCCGGGACUCCAACACAUGGCCUCAUGCCAAGGGCUGUGCUUAUGGGGCAAGAACUAUAAGCUUUGGCUAGAGUCCUGG